rnacentral:rRNA from 1 species
UACGUAGGGUGCAAGCGUUGUCCGGAAUUAUUGGGCGUAAAGAGCUCGUAGGCGGUUUGUCGCGUCUGCUGUGAAAACUCGGGACUUAACCCCGGGCCUGCAGUGGGUACGGGCAGACUAGAGUGCGGUAGGGGAGACUGGAAUUCCUGGUGUAGCGGUGAAAUGCGCAGAUAUCAGGAGGAACACCGGUGGCGAAGGCGGGUCUCUGGGCCGUAACUGACGCUGAGGAGCGAAAGCGUGGGGAGCGAACAGG